rnacentral:rRNA from 1 species
GACGUAGGGCGCGAGCGUUGUCCGGAUUUAUUGGGCGUAAAGAGCUCGUAGGCGGCUUGUCGCGUCGACUGUGAAAUCCCGCGGCUCAACUGCGGGUCUGCAGUCGAUACGGGCAGGCUAGAGUUCGGUAGGGGAGACUGGAAUUCCUGGUGUAGCGGUGAAAUGCGCAGAUAUCAGGAGGAACACCUAUAGCGAAGGCAGCUUGCUGGGACGUUACUGACGCUAAGGCGCGAAAGCGUGGGGAGCGAACAGG